rnacentral:lncRNA from 1 species
GCUUUGAAGAGGGCUACAUCUACAGAUAUAUCUACUCCGGAUAGUGAGUGAGGGCCAACCAGUGCUCCCCAAUGACGCAGCAAGCCCCUACACAGAUGAGCAGUAGGCUUCGUGUGAAAGACCCUUCAACAGGACAGGAGUAGCCUACAGUAAACUCCCCUUAAACCAAAAAAAGACGUGCUUGGAGAUGUCCCACGCAGACGGCGGAUAAGUUGCCUCAGUUCCCCGGCUGAAAGGUCCCAGUGUAGUGAAUGGACCUGAGCCUCAUAGGACCAUGCCUCAGAACUACCUGGCCUGACGACUCCUGGCUGUCCCCUUCCACAGUCCAUCAGGUCUUGCUGCUGAUCCAGAUUCUGCUGUUCUGCCUGUGGCUAUGGAACCCUGAACUUUUUCCCGCACGUGCUACCUUUUUGUGCUGCUGCUCCAGUUUCAACUAUUCUGC